GGAGGAGUGGCCGAGUGGUUUAAGGCACCUGUCUUGAAAACAGGCGUGGGUUGAUAGCCCACCGUGGGUUCGAAUCCUACCUCCUCCG
rnacentral:tRNA from 1 species